rnacentral:miRNA from 1 species
CGAUGAUGAUGAUGAUGAUGAUGAUGAUGAUCAUGCAUCCUCAGUCUCGCUAUCAUCAUCAUUAUUAUUACUAUCA